rnacentral:rRNA from 1 species
AUACGUAGGGGGCGAGCGUUGUCCGGAAUGAUUGGGCGUAAAGGGCGCGUAGGCGGCGCGGUAAGUCUGGAGUGAAAGUCCUGCUUUCAAGGUGGGAAUUGCUUUGGAUACUGCCGCGCUUGAGUGCAGGAGAGGUUAUCGGAAUUCCCGGUGUAGCGGUGAAAUGCGUAGAGAUCGGGAGGAACACCAGUGGCGAAGGCGGGUAACUGGACGGCAACUGACGCUGAGGCGCGAAAGUGUGGGGAGCAAACAGGAUUAGAUACCCUGGUAGUCCACACUGUAAACGAUGAAUGCUAGGUGUAAGAGGUAUCGACCCCUUUUGUGCCGGAGUCAACACAAUAAGCAUUCCGCCUGGGGAGUACGGCCGCAAGGUUGAAACUCAAAUGAAUUGGCGGGG